rnacentral:tRNA from 1 species
CCUGCCGUCGGCCGCCGGCUCGGUACGGCCCGGCUCAGGGUGAGCCGGGCCGGUGCCGACCGGUUCGGUGCCGACCGGUUCGGUGCCGACCGGCCCGG